rnacentral:rRNA from 1 species
CAAUAGCGUAUAUUAAAGUUGCUGCAGUUAAAAAGCUCGUAGUUGCAUUUCCGAGGCAAGGGAUUAGUCCGACCUUUGGUGGGUAUUUAAUCCUCUUGCCUCGUCCUUGAGUGGUGCUUCUUGGUAUUAAGUUAUCGAGGAGAUAGCCGCUCAUCGUUUACUGUGAGAAAAUUAGAGUGUUCAAAGCAGGCUUAUGCCGUUGAAUAUAUUAGCAUGGAAUAAUAAGAUAGGACCUCGGUACUAUUUUGUUGGUUUGAGAACCAAGGUAAUGAUGAAUAGGGACAGUUGGGGGUAUUCGUAUUCAGUUGUCAGAGGUGAAAUUCUUAGAUUUACGGAAGACGAACUACUGCGAAAGCAUUUACCAAGGAUGUUUNCAUUAA